rnacentral:rRNA from 1 species
UACGUAGGUGGCAAGCGUUGUCCGGAUUUACUGGGCGUAAAGGGAGUGUAGGCGGAUACUUAAGUCAGAUGUGAAAUACCCGGGCUCAACUUGGGUGCUGCAUUUGAAACUGGGUGUCUAGAGUGCAGGAGAGGAAAGUGGAAUUCCUAGUGUAGCGGUGAAAUGCGUAGAGAUUAGGAAGAACACCAGUGGCGAAGGCGACUUUCUGGACUGUAACUGACGCUGAGGCUCGAAAGCGUGGGGAGCAAACAGGAUUAGAUACCCUGGUAGUCCACGCCGUAAACGAUGGGUACUAAGUGUGGGAGGGAUCGACUCCUUCCGUGCCGCCGUAAACACAAUAAGUACCCCGCCUGGGGAGUACGGUCGCAAGAUUAAA